UUGUUUUGCCAUCGCGAUGAGUAUUUGCGAACCAGGUCAGGACAGGAAUGUAGCAGCCUUAAGUUAUUUAUUCAUGUGCGGUGGUUUUAUAAAUAUG
rnacentral:SRP_RNA from 1 species